rnacentral:rRNA from 1 species
CCUGGCUCAGGACGAACGCUGGCGGCGUGCUUAACACAUGCAAGUCGAGCGAGGAACUUCGGUUCCUAGCGGCGGACGGGUGAGUAACACGUGGGCAACCUACCUCACAAUGGGGGAUAGCCUUCCGAAAGGAAGAUUAAUACCCCAUAACACAAAGGAAACGCAUGUUUCUUUUGCCAAAGAAUUUCGUUGUGAGAUGGGCCCGCGGCGCAUUAGCUUGUUGGUGAGGUAACGGCUCACCAAGGCGACGAUGCGUAGCCGACCUGAGAGGGUGAUCGGCCACAUUGGAACUGAGACACGGUCCAGACUCCUACGGAAGGCAGCAGUGGGGAAUAUUGCACAAUGGAGGAAACUCUGAUGCAGCAACGCCGCGUGAGUGAUGAAGGUCUUCGGAUUGUAAAGCUCUGUCUUCUGGGACGAUAAUGACGGUACCAGAGGAGGAAGCCACGGCUAACUACGUGCCAGCAGCCGCGGUAAUACGUAGGUGGCAAGCGUUGUCCGGAUUUACUGGGCGUAAAGGAUGUGUAGGCGGAUAUUUAAGUGAGAUGUGAAAUCCCCGGGCUCAACUUGGGGGCUGCAUUUCAAACUGGAUAUCUAGAGUGCAGGAGAGGAAAGCGGAAUUCCUAGUGUAGCGNUGAAAUGCGUAGAGAUUAGGAAGAACAUCAGUGGCGAAGGCGGCUUUCUGGACUGUAACUGACGCUGAGGCAUGAAAGCGUGGGGAGCAAACAGGAUUAGAUACCCUGGUAG